AUAUCUUUAAUCCAAGUCUAUUCCCCCACGAUGUAUGUCUUUGUGUUCAUAUAAUAUUAACACACCUUUUAAAAAUUGUUUUACAUGCAUCUUGAAUUUGUUCCAAUCCUCAGUCCAAAUUCCUUCUAAGUCAAUGUUGUAAUUCUCGUACAUAAAGACCGUUGUUUCCUUAUUCCCAUCAUUUCCCUCGAAAUAAAUCAAUUCUCGUAAAAAAAAUUCCAACAGCAAUGUCAGAAUUUUUAACAGAAUUUUUGUUACAAAUCAAUUGAUAUUGAUCUAUUGAUAUUGAUCCUAGUUGACGGAUCAUAAUUAAAUAAAAAUAUAAAAUUAAAAAAAUAAAAUUAAAAUUAAAAGUUAAAAUACAUGUCUUCACAAACAUGUUAAUAAAAAUCAAGUAUUAAUUCUUAAACAUAACUAAUGAUGCGAAAAGAGAUAGUAAAUUAGUCACUAAUACAAAAUACUUUCUCAAUUUAAAUGAACAAGACAGCAACAAAUUCAAAAUUUAGUCGUGAUAAUCAGUAAUAAAUUCAACUCGAAUGAUUUUCAACAACAAAAAAAUUUAACUAAAUAUAUCAUUCUUAAUCACAUGCCUAACAAGAAUCAAUCAUUCCAAUUACAUGAUAGUUACAACAUGCAAAUUGGAAUCCAAGAUAUGCAUAGAAGCACAUUCAUAAGCAAUUGGUGAAUGAAAAGUGUUUUGAAAUUGUGGUUAUAGCGGCUCCAUAACGUUUUGGCGUGGCAGGUUUUGACCUUGCCGCCAUAUGGUGGUCGCCGCAUUGGGGUUUUCACGGGAGCGCCAUGGCGGCCGCAAUUAUGGUGGCGCCAUGGCGGAACGCAAUUCAAAUGGCAGAAAUUGCGGGGUUUUUCAGAUUUUCCAAAAAUUCUAAGGGUGUUUCGGAUAAUUUAGAAAACCUAAGUGAUCCCACUAACCACUAGCCCUAAUAAUCAGCCUCUUAUUCAAAAACUCCCUCCUUUGCCUCAUCUUUAAAAACAACUUUUCUCGGUCUCUGUUCUCUGUGACGCUGCUCUAUACGCCACCCAUCGCCGCCACUCAUCGCGCCGCCACUCAUCGCUCAUUGCUCAUCACCACAACCACUCUUUGCUGCCACUGCUAACCACGGUUCCCUCUCUGGUUCGUACAUCUUGUUUCAACUUUCUCUAGUCCUACUUUCAACUUUCUCUAGUCCUACUUUUUUUUUUCUUUUUUCUCUUCCCUGCUGCAUCUUGUUUCAACUUUCUCUAGUCCUACUUUUUUUUUCUUUUUUCCCUGCUGCCCCUUCUUUAUCAAUAAUCAGUGUUAAAUUUUUCGCCAUUUUCCGCAACACCAUCCGCUAUAACUUUAUGGUGAAUUUUUGGCUCACCGCCAUGAGCCGCCAUACGCAAUAAAAAAACUAUUAUGAAACAAACAAGAACCAUGUUCAAUUAAAGUGCACAUAGCAUGUUCAAACACCAAAAAGCUUUCACAACCAAUACCACAAGGUUAAUGUCAAAAUAAAAUUUCACGCCUAAUAUAACCCAAAACAAAUUAAACAAAGUUAAUCAAAUAGGGUUACAUAGGAUCAAUUCCUUAAUCUUGUGUUAUUGGGCAAAAGACCUCAAACAUUCAAAAAGUGUAAAAAAAAAUUUGGUCAAUUAGCAUAGCACAUUCAUCUCAAGGAAUUGACCAAAAUUUUUAAUCAAAAGCUCGAGGUAAUUUGGCAAACACUAGACAUGCAUUCGUAUUAAACAUGUAAAAUCAAUGCACCAAGUAUCAAUUUAGAACUCAAUUCAAAAGAAUGCCAUUCAACCAAAAUUUCAACAACUUCUCACAAAACAAGCAUUCUUUGAAACUCAAUUCAUACAAGUUUUCAGAACUUUCUUAUUCUAAUUGUUGGUUUGAUUCUGAUUUAUUUUUAUUCUUUCUUCCUCCUCCUCAUUGUCUAUUCCAAUUUGUUCCUUGGUUGGGUUGUUCUUGAUUCUUUGGUUGAAUUGUUAAUUCUA